GACGAACGCUGGCGGCGUGCUUAACACAUGCAAGUCGAACGGAAAGGUUCUGCUUUUGCGGGGUGCUCGAGAGGAGAACGGAUGUGUAAAACGUGUGUAACCUGCUAUCGAUUUUGGGAAAAAUUCAGGAAACUGGGGAUAAUACCGGACAGGAGAUCCUGCGGAAUGGCGGGGGUUGGAAAGUUUCGGCGGUUGGGGAUGGACUUGGGGCUUAUCAGCUUGUUGGUGGGGUUGUGGAAUACCAUGGCUUUGAAGGGUAGCCGGCCGGAGAGGUUCACCGGCCACAUUGGUACUGGGAUACUGCCCAUACUCCUACGGGAGUGUGCAUGGUAGAGUAUUGCACAAUGGCCGGAUGCCUGAUGCAGCAUCGCCGCCUGCGUGAUGUCGUCCUUCGGGUUUUAAACCUAUUUCACCAGUGACGAAGCUUGAGUGACGGUAAUGGGUAAAGAAGCACCGGCUAACUACGUG
rnacentral:rRNA from 1 species